rnacentral:rRNA from 1 species
GACGAACGCUGGCGGCGUGCUUAACACAUGCAAGUCGAACGGGAAGGCCCUGCUUUUGUGGGGUGCUCGAGUGGCGAACGGGUGAGUAACACGUGAGUAACCUGCCCUUGACUUUGGGAUAACUUCAGGAAACUGGGGCUAAUACCGGAUAGGAGCUCCUGCUGCAUGGUGGGGGUUGGAAAGUUUCGGCGGUUGGGGAUGGACUCGCGGCUUAUCAGCUUGUUGGUGGGGUAGUGGCUUACCAAGGCUUUGACGGGUAGCCGGCCUGAGAGGGUGACCGGCAACAUUGGGACUGAGAUACGGCCCAGACUCCUACGGGAGGCAGCAGUGGGGAAUAUUGCACAAUGGGCGGAAGCCUGAUGCAGCAACGCCGCGUGCGGGAUGACGGCCUUCGGGUUGUAAACCGCUUUCGCCUGUGACGAAGCGUGAGUGACGGUAAUGGGUAAAGAAGCACCGGCUAACUACGUG